rnacentral:rRNA from 1 species
CCCUUAGAUGUUCUGGGCUGCACGCGCGCGACAAUGACGUUUGCAACGAGAUUGCGAGGCCGUCAGGUCGAGCUGAUCUUGCAAGCUGCGUCGUGAUAGGGACAGUCGAUUGCAAUUAUUCGACUCGAACGAGGAAUUCCUUGUAAUCGCGCAUCAUCAGUGCGCGCUGAAUACGUCCCUGCCCUUUGUACACACCGCCCGUCGCUCCUACCGAUUGAAUGCUCAGGUGAGCCAUUCGGACUUUCAUCAUGCUGGUUUCCAGUUUUGAUGAAGGAAAGUCUUGCGAACCUUAUCAUUUAGAGGAAGGAGAAGUCGUAACA